rnacentral:lncRNA from 1 species
GAGAGAACCAGAGAAUGUGUUGGUGAAUAAAGGAGAUCUUGUGAAGUUUAAUAUGUGGGUAUCAGCUGGCUUUUAUUAUACUCUAAUUAAGUCUCAUUUCCCUCUGAGUAAAGCAAACUCUUGAGGGCAGUUAUCAUGUCAUCCAUUGCUGUUUCCCACAGCACUAGGCACACAGUCUUGACUCAGUAAGUCCUCACCAAAUGUAAUUGAAUUCGAUAGGUAGGAAAUAACAAAGACUUGUUUGAGUCAGGCUUCAUUUAUUUGGAAUUGAAACACAAAUCCUCAGUGCACUACAAAUAUGAGUUGCUCAAGCGAUUCCUAUUUUGCAAGCAGUUUUACGUAUUAAGAAAGUGGAAGGAUUUAGGCAUUUUGUUAUUCACUCAUUCUAGUAGUACGCACUGACUGGACUUGCCUGAGAGAUGCCAGCAUCUCCAUUAGUAAUGGGUGUUUUGUCCAUUAUCACCCCAUUCUCUAGCACAGACAUUCCUGGCUCAUCAUGAUAACUGGGCAUGUUGUUUUGAUGUGUAAUUCCAGAACACGGCUGGAACUGAGAAGCUGUUGGGGACUGGUGAGGAAGAACAUGGCAUCUACCACCAGGUCAAACAUCUACGAGUUCCUGAAUCCUACUGGACCUUGUAUCUCCUCUUUGACACUCAAGAAUUAGAAAAAAAUAUGUAUGUGUUGGCUUCUAAUUCACCAUUCUGCCACGUCCACUCACCCGCCCACAGUGGGAUAUAGAGAAAAUGUUUUCAAGGGACUGAUUGCGCAUUAGUUCCUGAAAAGAAAAGAUGCCAUUCUUUUAGGCUGGGCUUGAUCAUGAAGGCACUCUGAAGGAGUAGAAUGUGGUGGUUGGUGGAGAACUGACUGUCAGAGAGAAUCAGGUUAAGAAUCUCUGCUUAUUGAUCACUGCACCUUUCUCCUCCUAAACUAAAGACAAAGUGAUCUUGGAAAGGGAAUUUUUUUCCUUUUGACUAUUUCUAAUUAACCCAAAAGAAUAUUUCUCAGUAUGAAGGACUAAUAAAGCCUGAUGGAUCAGCCA